UACGUAGGGUGCGAGCGUUAAUCGGAAUCACUGGGCGUAAAGCGCGCGUAGGCGGCUUUUCAAGUCAGGGGUGAAAUCCCACGGCCCAACCGUGGAACUGCCUUUGAAACUGUAGAGCUUGAGUGUCGGAGAGGGUGGCGGAAUUCCAGGUGUAGGAGUGAAAUCCGUAGAUAUCUGGAGGAACACCGGUGGCGAAGGCGGCCACCUGGACGACAACUGGCGCUGAGGUGCGAAAGCGUGGGUAGCAAACAGG
rnacentral:rRNA from 1 species